rnacentral:rRNA from 1 species
UACGUAGGGUGCGAGCGUUGCCCGGAUUUAUUGGGCGUAAAGGGCGCGUAGGCGGUCACGCACGUCCGUUGUGAAAUCGCUCGGCUCAACUGGGCGGGGUCAGCGGAUACGGUGUGACUGGAGCAAGCUAGGGGGCAAUGGAAUUCCCGGUGUAGUGGUGGAAUGCGUAGAUAUCGUAAGGAAGACCAGUGGCGAAGGCGGGUCUCUGGACAGUUCCUGACGCUGAGGCACGAAGGUCAGGGGAGCAAACGGG